AUCGAACGCUGGCGGCAGGCCUAACACAUGCAAGUCGAACGAGUGGCGGACGGGUGAGUAAUGUCUGGGAAACUGCCCGAUGGAGGGGGAUAACUACGGGAAACGGUAGCUAAUACCGCAUACCAUCGGAUGUGCCCAGAUGGGAUUAGCUAGUAGGUGGGGUAACGGCUAACCUAGGCGACGAUCCCUAGCUGGUCUGAGAGGGUGACCGGCCACACUGGAACUGAGACACGGUCCAGACUCCUACGGGAGGCAGCAGUGGGGAAUAUUGCGCAAUGGGCGCAAGCCUGAUGCAGCCAUGCCGCGUGUAUGAAGAAGGCCUUCGGGUUUUAAAGUUCUUUCAGCAGGGAAGCGUUACUCACAGAAGAAGCACCGGCUAACUCCGUGCCAGCAGCCGCGGUAAUAC
rnacentral:rRNA from 1 species